rnacentral:lncRNA from 13 species
CAAUAUUAGAAGAAUAUUUUGACCUCUUUCUAGGCCCUCUGAUCUGUUUAUGAACUCAGCUCCAAAUACACAAAAGAUGAGGCUGCAGGAACCUUUAGUUUUCCAAGUGUAGAUAUUCCAGUGAGCAUUCUUAAACCAAAUACUUUCAUUACUCAUGCUGGCAUACUCAGUAGGUGGAAGCCAGAAGUAAUAUACUUAGAUGAAGUUGAACUAUAAACAGAGUAAAGUGACUUACCAAAGGUGAACACAUUUGCAGAACAGAUUAGGAAUUUUGUUAAUAUUUGAUACUGGUAUUUUUCAGCAAUGUCUUUACAGUUUUAUCCCGAAAUCGCUCCUAUAAAAAUUAGAAUGAAGAAAAGCUAAAAAAAAUUGAUAUCUGUUUGAAGACAUUAAUGUUUCCUAAUAUUUUUAUUUUAUUUGUAGUUAAUCAAAGUAGAAAAGAAAAAUCUAUUUUUAAAGGACAGAACGAAACAGCUAGGCAACAUGCUGUUAGCAACGUAUAUGUGACUGGCAUACAGCAAAGCAGACCUGUGGCCUGAUCUCUGUACUGAUUCACAUGUAAGGAACUAUCAGUCAAACAACUUUGAGCAAUAACAUAAACAUAGUGUAAGUUUUCCUUUAGGGAAAGCUCAGAGGAUUUAUAGGACACUUUAUUCAGUAUGACUUAAAAAUCAUCUGGAGACUUUUUGCCCAUCUUCAGAGUUUAAUGGCUAUAAUGGGAGCUAAAAUCAUGUCCAGCCCUCACCCUCACUUUUCAGGCACAUGGCCCCUCAGUACUGUUCUUUUGCAUCCACUUUCAUCUACCCAUCACCAUUCCCUCUAGUGGGAAAUACCAUCCUUCUCUGACUCAGAAGCUUUUGUUUCAAGAAACACUUCCUCUAAAAUUAGCAAAAUAAUGUCCUCGUCAUCUUAUGUUGACUUAUAUUUAUGAUUAUUAUGUAUUUCAACUCUCUCCUACAAACUUAUUAAAACAAGCAGUGGGGCAUUAAGCUAGUUAUUUACAUUUUCUGUGUCCUCAUCUGUCCAAACAUGGAUAUGUGUCUCUUACCUCAGGUAGUAUUAGAAGAGUUAUAGGGCACUUUAUUGGUGAAAUUAGUUUAGUCAUUGUUUUCUUUGGCAAUAAUUGGGGCAGGUGGGCUAUUCCAAUGAAAAGCCGAUGGAGCCACUAAAACCUGACUCUCAGUCAUUGUCUACAAAUAAAAACAUAAGGUAUAACGCUAUAGUCGGGAUU